GAUGAACGCUGGCGGCGUGCUUAACACAUGCAAGUCGAACGGAAAGGCCCUGCUUUUGUGGGGUUCUCGUAUGGCGAACGGGUGGGUAACACGUGUGUAAACUGCACUUGUAUUUGGGAUAACUUCAGGAAACUGGGGCUCAUACCGGAUAGGAGCUCCUGCUGCAUAGGGGGGGUUGGAAAGUUUCGGCGGUUGGGGAUGGAUUCGCGGCUUAUCAGCUGGUUGGUGAGGUAGUUGCUUACAAAGGCUUUGACGGAUAGCCGGCCUGGGAGGGGGACCGGCGUCAUGGGGACUGAGGUACGGCCCAGACGCCAACGGGCGGCAGCGGGGGAGAGUAUUGCACAGUGAGCGGGAGCCUGAUACGGCGGCGCCGCGUGCGGGAUGACGUCCUACGAGUUAUAAACCGCUUUCGCCGGAGACGAAGCGUGAGUGACGGUAAUUAGUAAAGAAGCAACGGCUAACUACGUG
rnacentral:rRNA from 1 species